rnacentral:lncRNA from 1 species
GGACAAAUCGAAUAAACUGACCUUCAAGCUUGCCAUCCAUAUUUGAAAAUUACCCAAAGAAACUGACAUAUCCAUCUUAUAAGAAGAGAUAAAAUAAAUGUAGAACAAACAAAAUAGUUUAACAUAGCUAAAGCACAUAUUACAGUUUCAGAGCUCAUUUCAAAUGAACACAUUCAAUUCUUCAAACCACUCAAACGACAAAUCUGUGGCUUUGCAAAUGAAAUUCUAACAACGACUAAUUACCAACAACAAACACCCAAAUUAUCCCUUAACAUCUAACAACUCAAAUAGACGUGCUAGAUUUAACAAUUGAAUAUGAAACCAGCGGCGUUUGUCCUUCAAAAUCCUCAAACGACAAAAAGAACCAAAAAAAAACAUAGAUAGCGAGAAUAGAAAAUACAAAUCGGAUUGAUAUAGAAUUUGAAUCACAUUUUUAUGAAUAACAAAGUUCAAUUGUUUCACAAAUUCAAUAAUUAACAUUUGACCAUUCCGAAUCGAGUUGAAACAGUAGCUCAAAGACGAAUAAACAUACCCGGAAAUGAAGCUCCGCAAAUCAACAAUACAGCAGUAAAAUCAGCAGAAUCGAACAACAAUCAACAGAGCUUCGAACCCGGAAAGUUAACCAUGCUAUUAUCCUUUUUCAAAGCCAUUUUUCGUUUUUUUUUUUUGUUUUUCUUUAAUUAAAAACUAUUUCAGCUGGGUUUGCUCUGCUUCGCCGGACAGUAAUGGAGGGUCGUUUGUUUGGUUCUUGACUGAUACCAGCG